UUGGUUAAGUUAGAAAGGGCGCACGGUGGAUGCCUUGGCACUAGGAGCCGAAGAAGGACGGGACUAACACCGAUAUGCUUUGGGGAGCUGUACGUAAGCGUUGAUCCAGAGAUUUCCGAAUGGGGGAACCCACUAUCUUUAGUCGGAUAGUAUCCUUACGUGAAUACAUAGCGUAAGGAAGGCAGACCCAGGGAACUGAAACAUCUAAGUACCUGGAGGAAGAGAAAGAAAAAUCGAUUUCCUGAGUAGCGGCGAGCGAAACGGAAAGAGCCCAAACCAAGAAGCUUGCUUCUUGGGGUUGUAGGACACUCUAUACGGAGUUACAAAAGAAAGUUAUAAAUGAAGCGGUCUGGAAAGGCCCGCCAAAGACGGUAACAGCCCGGUAGUUGAAAUGGCUUUCCCUCCAGAGUGGAUCCUGAGUACGGCGGAACACGUGAAAUUCCGUCGGAAUCCGGGAGGACCAUCUCCCAAGGCUAAAUACUCCCUAGUGACCGAUAGUGAACCAGUACCGUGAGGGAAAGGUGAAAAGCACCCCGGAAGGGGAGUGAAACAGUUCCUGAAACCGUGUGCCUACAAGUAGUUAGAGCCCGUUAAUGGGUGAUAGCGUGCCUUUUGUAGAAUGAACCGGCGAGUUACGAUUUGUUGCAAGGUUAAGCGGAAAAAGCGGAGCCGUAGCGAAAGCGAGUCUGAAUAGGGCGCAUAAGUAACAGGUCGUAGACCCGAAACCAGGUGAUCUACCCAUGUCCAGGAUGAAGGUAAGGUAAUACUUACUGGAGGUCCGAACCCACGCACGUUGAAAAGUGCGGGGAUGAGGUGUGGGUAGCGGAGAAAUUCCAAUCGAACUUGGAGAUAGCUGGUUCUCUCCGAAAUAGCUUUAGGGCUAGCCUCGAGGUAAAGAGUCAUGGAGGUAGAGCACUGUUUGGACUAGGGGCCCUUCUCGGGUUACCGAAUUCAGAUA
rnacentral:rRNA from 1 species